UGGAAACUGUNUGACUUGAGUGCAGAAGGGGAGAGUGGAAUUCCAUGUGUAGCGGUGAAAUGCGUAGAUAUAUGGAGGAACACCAGUGGCGAAAGCGGCUCUCUGGUCUGUCACUGACGCUGAGGCUCGAAAGCGUGGGUAGCGAACAGGAUUAGAUACCCUGGUAGUCCACGCCGUAAACGAUGAGUGCUAGGUGUUAGGCCCUUUCCGGGGCUUAGUGCCGGAGCUAACGCAAUAAGCACUCCGCCUGGGGAGUACGACCGCAAGGUUGAAACUCAAAGGAAUUGACGGGGGCCCGCACAAGCGGUGGAGCAUGUGGUUUAAUUCGAAGCAACGCGAAGAACCUUACCAGGUCUUGACAUCCCGAUGCUAUUCUUAGAGAUAGGAAGUUACUUCGGUACAUCGGAGACAGGUGGUGCAUGGUUGUCGUCAGCUCGUGUCGUGAGAUGUUGGGUUAAGUCCCGCAACGAGCGCAACCCUUAUUGUUAGUUGCCAUCAUUAAGUUGGGCACUCUAGCGAGACUGCCGGUAAUAAACCGGAGGAAGGUGGGGAUGACGUCAAAUCAUCAUGCCCCUUAUGACCUGGGCUACACACGUGCUACAAUGGUCGGUACAACGAGUUGCGAGCCGGUGACGGCAAGCUAAUCUCUGAAAGCCGAUCUCAGUUCGGAUUGGAGGCUGCAACUCGCCUCCAUGAAGUCGGAAUCGCUAGUAAUCGCGGAUCAGCACGCCGCGGUGAAUACGUUCCCGGGCCUUGUACACACCGCCCGUCACACCACGAGAGUUUGUAACACCCGAAGUCGGUGAGGUAACCUUUUAGGGGCCAGCCGCCUAAGGUGGGANGGA
rnacentral:rRNA from 1 species